ensembl:lncRNA
CAUCUCACCUUCAAUUCCCAUCUGAUUUCCUCACCUUAUUCCUGUUGUCUCUUUAGCUACUCAGUUCUCAUUAUCCAUCACUCAAGAGUCACCCUUGCUGCACACAGCCAAGUCCCACUCAACAUCUUAUUUCACACAAAUGUCUGACACUUAGGUGGUAUUUGUAGCACUCAGAUUUCACUAGGCCCUAUAUACAUGCACCUUGUCUCUACCAUACUGGUUCCCCGGAGCCACUCUUAUUUCCUUGUCCUCUGUAAUCUUGGCUUUCUCCCUUUGCUCAGCAGCCCAUCCUCUAUUGUUUCCCAUUCUACUUUCUUACUUUGUUGAACCACAGGAUAUCUCACACAGACACCCUUCCCUUCAAUUCCAGACAUUCCCAUCCCUUUAUGUCCUCAUGCCUUAAACUUCAAAAUUAGGGAACCCCAUUUUCAAUUCCUUUUUCACAGUGGCCCGGCCUCUUCUGUAUUCAUUCAUGCUCUAUGUACUAGUACUAGACCUAAACUCUUGUCUACUCCCCUAUAAAUCAACUGACCACACAAACCUGGAGGUUCCCCUUUCACACAUCUGUCACAAUCCAGCUUGCUAGAUUUAGCCGUGCAGCCCCCAGGGGAAAGCUUUGAUUCUCCAUAUCACUCCCAUUCGAUAUAUCACUUCUCUCAUACUUCCCCCCCUUCAGGCAGAUUUUCUGAACAGCCAAUCAUCACUGUCACUCUUCACCAUUUACUUGCAUGUCUUCCAAUGGCUCUUUUGCAGCGUAAUAUACUUGACUCUCACCAUCUCACCAUUCAUUCUUUCUUUGUUGCUCCCCAUUCAGUCAUCUCACAUUGCAUUCCUAUCUCCAUUCAUCCUUUCUUAUUGGAACUUGACUGUCCCCUCAAGUAUCAGAGGUUGGGUCUCACAUUCUCACCUUCAUCUCAUCUGGAUUUCUCAGUCCACUCUCCUCUCUCUUUCUCUUUAGCCACUCAUCUCUCAUCUUCUGCAUAUGACCAAUUGUCCAUCACUCAGAGUCGCCCUUGCUAUAUAUAUACAAGUCCCAUCCAACAUCUUAUUUCUCACAAAUGUCUGACACUCAGGUGGUAUUUGUAGCAGCCAUAUCUCAUUAGGCCCUAUCAACAUGUGCCUGUCUCUACCUCAAUGUUUCCCUAGAGCCACUCUGUCUCCUUGUCCUCUAAAAUCUUUGCUUUCUCCUUUUCAUCUGCACCCCAUCCUAUAUUGCUUCCCAUUCUGCUUUCACACUUCAUUGACUUGGCAGAAAUCUUGACACAGGCACCUCUCACUCCAGAGCAUUUCCAUCCUCUCACAUCUCACACUCUUGACCUUUCAUACCAGCAAUCUCACAUUUUCUCACUCUAUUUUCACAGUGGCCCGGCCUCUUCGGUAUUCAUUCAUACUCUGUUAGUACUAGACAUAAAGUCUUCUUGGCCCCCCUAUAGUUCAAUCAUCCCUUGACCACACAAACAAGAAGUUUCUCCUUUGAUACAUCAGACACAAUCGAGCUUACUGGAUUUUGCCACACAGACCCCAGGGGCAAGCUUUGUCUCUCCACACCUCAAGCCGAAUCUCAAUACAUCACUCUCCCAUCCUCCAAUUCCUCC